GGUCCUGUGGUCUAGUGGUAUGAUUCUCGCUUAGGGCGGCCUUCAUUGGCCCAUUGAUCUAAGCUUUCUUGCGAGAGGCCCCGCGUUCGAGUCGCGGCAGGACCC
rnacentral:tRNA from 1 species